ACACGUAGGGUACGAGCGUUGUCCGGAAUUACUGGGCGUAAAGGGCGCGCAGGCGGACAUUUAAGUCAGCUGUAAAAGGCAUGAGCUCAACUCAUGUAUGCGGUUGAAACUGGGUAUCUAGAGUGCUGGAGCGGUAGGCGGAAUUCCCGGAGUACCGGGUGAACGCGUAGAUAUUGGGAAGAACACCAGUGGCGAAGGCGGCUUACUGGCCAGCAACUGACGCUGAGGCGCUAAAGCCAGGGGAGCGAACGGGAUUAGAUACCCCGGUAGUCCUGGCCGUAAACGAUGAAUGCUAGGUGUGGGUGUCGAGAGGCAUCCGUGCCGGAGUUAACGCGAUAAGCAUUCCGCCUGGGGAGUACGAUCGCAAGAUUGAAACUCAAAUGAAUUGACGGGG
rnacentral:rRNA from 1 species